rnacentral:lncRNA from 1 species
GACACCCCUCGCCGGGGCCAAAAAAACUUUGCAAUGUGUUCAUCAUCCUCUUCGUCGCGCCGCCGCCGCCGCCGCCUCGGCGCGGGAUUGGGGGGCUCUCCGAGGCCUUCUCGGUCUUCACCUCACUUCUCUCUCUCCCCCCUCCCCCCCCCUUUUCAGCGCAGCUCGGAACUGGCCCUUUAAGAAAACAUUCCUUGCUCGUCGCUCCCGCCCGGGGCCCGCACCCUGGACACUUUAAAAGGACCCAGGUAGCCCUGGAGGCGAGGUGACCGUCUCCCCGCCCUGGCCCUGCGCUGCGCAGCGCUGUGGCUCCUGCCCAAGCCGGGCCGUAGAGAAGACUGGCCCGCAGCGGGUUUCUGCGCGACUUCCUUGGAUCUCCCCGCAAACGCGCUGAUAGUUGGGACACGGGUCCAGGCUGCUUUUGCUGCGUUUUAUUGCGUUUUAUUACUAAUUAAAAAGCUUUCGUUCGCCGUCGCCCCAGA